CUAAACCAUGUUGAAGAAAGAGAUAAGAGAAAUGAUCUAGAGAAAAUGUGUCAAGUCCUGCAGCAUAAAAGCACUGAACCGACUUUGUCUCAUGGUGAAUCUGUACAGUUGGAUGACAGUGAUGGGCAGCAUGUCUCUAAUCAAGCUUUCCCCGUUAACACAAGACAGAGUUUGAAUGACUCAAUUCUGCUAUGUAAAAAUUGCCAUUGAUGAGGAAAUGGUGAAACUCAACAAUUGGAUGACAGUGAUGGGCAGCCUAUCUAAUCAAGCUUUCAACAUUGUUAACACAAGACAGAGUUUGUACGACUCAAUUCUGCUACAUACAAAUUGUCAUUGAUAAAGAGAGUAAGCCAUCUACAGAAAGGUUCCAACUCUAUUGAAGAACAAACCUUCACCACACCCUGAUUUGUUUUGUUGUGGAUAGAAUGUCCAAAUUCAAGUUAGGACAAAAAAGACUAGUAAACAAACGGUAUUAUAGAGAGGAGAGACUGGUGACGUCACGGAAAUCUGCCAAAAGUUCGUGGAGAACUGGUUGGCUUAUCUACCGUUGAUCCUUAAAUAUGCAGUGAAGGCGAAGAAGACAAUUGAUGCUGUGAGUCGAAGACCAGCUUAUUGCAAAGUGUUA